rnacentral:tRNA from 1 species
GUUGACUUAGCUAUGACCUCUGCGUAAAUUGCGCGCCUCGCAAGGCUAACGGCUGAUUAGCUCAGCUGGGAGAGCACCUGCAUCACACGCAGGGGGUCGGCGGUUCGAUCCCGUCAUCAGCCACCAA